GUGUGUGCUGUGUGUGUCAGGGGUGCAGUGUGUGUGUGUGAGAGUGCUGUGAGUGUUAGGGGUGCAUUUUGUUUGUGCUGUGUCAGGCGUGCAGUGUGUGUGAGGGUGCUGUGAGUGUCAGGGGUGCAGUGUGUGUGUGAGGGUGCUGAGAGUGUCAGGGGUGCAGUGUGUGUGCUGUGUGUGUCAGGGGUGCAGUGUGUGUGUGUGAGGGUGCUCUGAGUGUUAGGGGUGCAUUUUGUUUGUGCUGUGUCAGACGUGCAGUGUGUGUGUGAGGGUGCUGUGAGUGUCAGGGGUGCAGUGUGUGCGCUGUGCGUGUCAGGGGUGCAGUGUGUGUGUGUGUGUGUGCUGUGAGUGUUAGGGGUGCAUUUUGUGUGUGCUGUGAGGGUCAGAUGUGCAGUGUGUGUGUGUGUGUGAGGGUGCAGUGUAUGUGCUGUGAGUGUUAGGGGUGCAGUGUGUGUGUGUGUGAGGGUGCUGUGUCAGGGGUGCAGUGUGUGUGCUGUGAGUGUUAGGGGUGCAUUUUGUUUGUGUGAGGUGCUGUGAGUGUUAGGAGUGCAUUUUGUUUUGUGCUGUGUCAGGCGUGCAGUGUGUGUGAGGUGCUGUGAGUGUCAGGGGUGCAGUGUGUGUGUGAGGGUGCUGAGAGUGUCAGGGGUGCAGUGUGUGUGCUGUGCUGUGUCAGAGUGCAGGUGUGUGUGUGUGAGGGUGCCUGAGUGUUAGGGUGCAUUUUGUUUGUGCUGUGUCAGACGUGCAGUGUGUGUGUGAGGGUGCUGACAGUGUCAGGGGUGCAGUGUGUGAGGGUGCUGUGAGUGUUAGGGGUGCAUUUUGUGAGUGCUGUGAGGGUCAGACGUGCAGUGUGUGUGUGUGAGGGUGCUGUGAGUGUCAGGGGUGCAGUGUGUGCACUGUGCGUGUCAGGGGUGCAGUGUGUGUGUGUGUGUGUGUGUGAGGGUGCUGUGAGUGUUAAGGGUGCAUUUUGUGUGUGCUGUGAGGGUCAGACGUGCAGUGUGUGUGUGAGGGUGCAGUGUAUGUGCUGUGAGUGUUAGGGGUGCAGUGUGUGUGUGUGAGGGUGCUGUGAGUGUAAGGGGUGCAUUUUGUUUGUGCUGUGUCAGACGUGCAGUGUGUGUGAGGGUGCUGUGAGAGUCAGGGGUGCAGUGUGUGUGUGAGGGUGCUGUGAGUGUCAGGGGUGCAGUGUGUGUGUGAGGGUGCUGUGAGUGUCAGGGGUGC